UACGAAGGGGGCUAGCGUCGUUCGGAAUUACUGGGCGUAAAGCGCACGUAGGCGGAUUCUUAAGUCAGGGGUGAAAUCCCGAGGCUCAACCUCGGAACUGCCUUUGAUACUGGGGAUAUCGAGUCCGGGAGAGGUGAGUGGAACUGCGAGUGUAGAGGUGAAAUUCGUAGAUAUUCGCAUGAACACCAGUGGCGAAGGCGGCUCACUGGCCCGGCACUGACGCUGAGGUGCGAAAGCGUGGGGAG
rnacentral:rRNA from 1 species